CCACAGUCAAAAAUGCUCCUGAAGCAGACGAUGCCCCUUCCGACAUUAUUAUCAGAUCAGAGGUGGCUCAGCCCUAGGUCACAGUGCCGACGUCACUCCCCUGACUUUGUCUCAUCACGUGGGCAUUUUAUCAUCUCACAUCAUCACAAGAACAAGGGAAAAAACACAACCCAUGUAGGGUUUGGUGCCGUCUGCAGUUUCAGGCAUCUGCGGAGUGUUUUGGAACGUAUCCUCCAUGGAUAAAGGAGCUACUGUAUGCAGACUGUGCACUACUGAGGUUGUGUCCAUUUCGGACUCUUGGCUAAGCUACUCACUACUACUGAUAGCCAUCUCUUAGCAGCAGGGCCAUUUCCUGUCUGUUCUGGAAAGCUCUGGAAUCCAGUGGCUUUGACUAAGUGGUCUGAAGAGAACUGUUGUGAGCAAGGCGCCUUGACACCCCCUUGGUGCUUCCCCAGAGGCAUCUGCUGUGUGGCCCUUGCUAAGGCCAUGAGCUCCGGCCAGUGUUUCAGAGGAAAUGAGGAAAGACUGACUAAAAGACUGCUCCCCAAACUCCUUCUGAGGCACCUGCUCUAUAUCUGUUCUCUGAUUUCAUGCUGGCAGCUGGUCAGCAGGCUGAGCAUGAUUAACACCAUCUGUCAGUCGAAGCGACUGAGAUUGAUGAAGUGACCUGCCCGGUGACAAGUGGGAGAGCUGGGAUUUGAACCUAGGACCAGUGAGCUCCAAAGACCCUGCUUGACUGCUGGACUGGGGCCCACCCCAGGGGUCAGUUCAGCUUAGACACACCACGUAACUUCCCCGGGUUUCCCCAACCUGCAAACCAAGGAGCUGAAAGCUAAGUGAGAGGGUCGUCUCCUGCCCUCAUUCAGAAGCGUCCCAGACAGCGACGGGUGGGUGCCGCCGGUGAGGCCCAGGCCACAUUGAGUGUCAAGAAGAGAUGACUGAUUGAAGUGGCUUUCAGCAGAGAAGCCAGCCCACCACAGGCUGGAGGCAAGACCUAAGCAUGUGAGUCACCCCGACCUCUCCCUGCCACCAGAGGGGACAGGGACAACCCGUGUCUGGUCUCCUCGAGCCCCUACCCCCACCCUCAAGGGUGUCUCAGAACCAAGGCACAGACUCCACCGAGAUUAGGACUACGUGCUCAGACACACACACAGACUUUGCAAACAAUGCAGGGAAAUAAAGUUCUCACAGGAAACAUUAUCAUACUGACUCACGACAGACCCAUCCAUAAAACAAACUCCUGGUACCUGGGGCCGCCUCAGAGAGCAGUGGCCUGGGAGAUAGGCCCACUCUCUCCUGGGCCCUGGAGGAAGUGGGUGCUGCCGGGGGGAGGGGCAGCUUCCCCUGCCCGCUCUGACGCCUGCCUGGGAUCUGAAUUAUUUGUCAGAGGGAGAAAAAUGAUUAUUUUUAAAAAGAAGCACAAGUCCCAGAGUAUCACGGCCUCUUUGCUUGUCACAAGAGCUCUGUUGCAACAAAAAACUCUCCUGAUGUUGUGGUAUUUUGCAAGUCAUUUGCCAUGCCAAUGCAGAAAACAUUAUGGUCCCCAGAGGCCUGUGUCUUCACCGGUCCUUGCCUUGCAAAGCAGGCUUGACUGUUGCCAGUGUGGAAAGACAUUUUGAUCCAAGUCUGUUUUCAGAUCAGAGAAGGCAGAUUGGUGCAUUAUGGAGACAUCCAACGGACAGCUAUUACUUGUUAGGAGCCUCAGCACCUCAUCUGCAAAAUGGGAACAGUCAUAAGAAAAGAAAGUAAGAAAAUGUAUGUUUAUCAAAUGGCGCAGUGUUCGUUUUCCUGACCCGCUAUGAGACGCAGUCUGGAAAAGGGCCUUGGGAAUCUGAAGACCCUCAUCCAAGUCUUGACCCUACCUACCCCUUCUUAAUCCUGGGAGCCUUGGCAAGCUGGGCCUCAUCCGUACCUCAAUUUCCAACUCUGGAAAAGCAAAGGCUUUGACCAGUCCUGACAUGUCCGGCCCCCAGGGUGCGAUGUGGCUGUGAGGCAAGCUGGGUUAUCAGCCAGGUUUAGGAUUUUGGGUCAUGAGGAGCUUGAGUACCAAGGAGUUGGAGUGUUCUGGUUGUUCCGGUCUCCACUGAGCCCUGGCCAUUUUCCCAUCCUAGAAUAAGAAUGACAGGGCACCUGGGUGGCUCAGUGGGUUAAGCCUCUGCCUUCAGCUCAGGUCAUGAUCUCAGGG